UACGUAGGGGGCUAGCGUUGUCCGGAAUCAUUGGGCGUAAAGCGCGCGUAGGCGGCCCGGUCAGUCCGUUGUAAAAGUCAAAGGCUCAACCUUUGAAUGCCGAUGGAUACUGCCGGGCUAGAGUCCGGAAGAGGCGAGUAGAAUUCCUGGUGUAGCGGUGGAAUGCGCAGAUAUCAGGAGGAAUACCCAUAGCGAAGGCAGCUCGCUGGGACGGUACUGACGCUGAGGCGCGAAAGCGUGGGGAGCGAACAGG
rnacentral:rRNA from 1 species